GACGAACGCUGGCGGCGUGCUUAACACAUGCAAGUCGAACGGAAAGGCCCUGCUUUUGUGGGGUGCUCGAGUGGCGAACGGGUGAGUAACACGUGAGUAACCUGCCCUUGACUUUGGGAUAACUUCAGGAAACUGGGGCUAAUACCGGAUAGGAGCUCCUGCUGCAUGGUGGGGGUUGGAAAGUUUCGGCGGUUGGGGAUGGACUCGCGGCUUAUCAGCUUGUUGGUGGGGUAGUGGCUUACCAAGGCUUUGACGGGUAGCCGGCCUGAGAGGGUGACCAGCCACAUUGGGACUGAGAGACGGCCCAGACUGCUACGGGAGGCAGCAGUGGGGAAUAUUGCACAAUGGGCGGAAGCCUGAUGCAGCAACGCCGCGUGCGGGAUGACGGCCUUCGGGUUGUAAACCGCUUUCGCCUGUGACGAAGCGUGAGUGACGGUAAUGGGUAAAGAAGCACCGGCUAACUACGUG
rnacentral:rRNA from 1 species